rnacentral:lncRNA from 1 species
GGACAGAUUUUUCAUGUUAUGAAGCACUACAAAAUCCAAAACUCAUCUUUUAAAAGAGCAUGAUAGUGAGCACUGUCAUCAUUUAGAUGGAGUUUACAUUCCUUUCUCAGCAAAAUGAAACAGGAGGAGCUGCUGUGGGAGAGAAUUGGCCUACCCAUCAUCCAGCAGAAAUGAGAAAAGUAAAACAUCAGCAAUGAGUGAAGAAAGAAGACAUCUCACUUCAGUUUUGACUUUCUUCAUCGAAUAGCUCUCAAACCCGAGCACCUUGAAAUCCAUACCCACAAAAAACCAGAGCCACUACUGCUG